GACGAACGUUGGCGGCGUGCCUAAUACAUGCAAGUCAACUGAAAUACCGGUAGCAAUACUGGUAUGGAGGUGGCGCACGGGUGAGUAACACGUAGGUAAUCUGCCUUCAGGUCUGACAUAACCCAUCGAAAGGUGAGCUAAUAUCAGAUGAUGCAGCGGCUUGACAUCAAGACAGUUGUUAAAGCUUCGGCGCCUGAAGAUGAGCCUGCGCUGAUUAGCUAGUUGGCGGGUAACGGCCACCAAGGCUGCGAUCAGUAGCUGGUCUGAGAGGAUGAUCAGUCACACUGGAACUGAGACACGGUCCAGACUCCUACGGGAGGCAGCAGUAAGGAAUAUUGCUCAAUGGCCGAAAGGCUGAAGCAGCAACGCCGCGUGAGGGAUGAAGGUCUUUUGCUUGUAAACCUCUGUAGCGAGAG
rnacentral:rRNA from 1 species